rnacentral:ncRNA from 2 species
CAUUGUUAUAUAGCGUGUGGCCCCCAUCUGCAUUGGCAGCGGGGAUACGAGGAGAGGGCUAGCGAAUAAUCUGCGGGUACCCUCAGGCCGAAGCCAAGCUGUCGACCUUAAGUGUGCUCUUAAAUCCUUCUGGCAACAGAAGGGACACGGGAGCUUGCAUACAGCAUA